GUCCCAAACCCAUCCCGCGCCUUACAAUUCAUUUUUGCUCUGUCUCCCGAAAAAAUUAGGAGUCUGCCGCCCCUCCUAAGUCUAGAUUAGCAUUGAAGCCUGAUGGAUUAUUUUUAGCAGCUAUUCUUAGGGGAGAAACAUUAAAGGAGCUCAGAAUAGCUUGUACAUUAGCACAGAUGGAGCGUGAAGGAGGGAUCAGUCCUCGAGUAUCACCUUUGGCACAGGC